rnacentral:rRNA from 1 species
UACAGAGGUCUCAAGCGUUGUUCGGAUUCAUUGGGCGUAAAGGGUGCGUAGGCGGCGCGGUAAGUCGGGUGUGAAAGCCUUGAGCUCAACUCAAGAAAUGCACUCGGUACUGGGUGACUAGAGGACCGGAGAGGAUAGUGGAAUUCCCAGUGUAGUGGUGAAAUACGUAGAGAUUGGGAAGAACACCAGUGGCGAAGGCGGCUAUCUGGACGGUUUCUGACGCUAAGACGCGAAAGCGUGGGGAGCAAACAGG